GAUGAACGCUAGCGGCAGGCCUAACACAUGCAAGUCGAGCGAUCCCUUCGGGGAUAGCGGCGGACGGGUGAGUAACGCGUGGGAACGUACCCUUUGCUACGGAAUAGCCUCGGGAAACUGGGAGUAAUACCGUAUGUGCCCUUCGGGGAAAGAUUUAUCGGCAAAGGAUCGGCCCGCGUUGGAUUAGGUAGUUGGUGGGGUAAUGGCCUACCAAGCCUACGAUCCAUAGCUGGUUUGAGAGGAUGAUCAGCCACACUGGGACUGAGACACGGCCCAGACUCCUACGGGAGGCAGCAGUGGGGAAUCUUAGACAAUGGGGGCAACCCUGAUCUAGCCAUGCCGCGUGAGUGAUGAAGGCCUUAGGGUUGUAAAGCUCUUUCAGCUGGGAAGAUAAUGACGGUACCAGCAGAAGAAGCCCGGCUAACUCCGUGCCAGCAGCCGCGGUAAAGUACAGUGU
rnacentral:rRNA from 1 species